CUUCGAUUGCUGAAAGUUCUUGGACGUCGUGGUUUCGAGGCGGGUUUUGGGAAUCGAUUGCAUCGGUUCGUUCUGUUUGCAGUUGCUGGAUGCUAAGGGAUAGGGUGUUUUUCCUGAAUGCUGUGGAUCUCGGUUCAGGUGGUGACGAUAAAGCCAAUUUUGAAGCGCUCACCAGAGAUCUGCCAGAGAUCUGGGAGGAAAAGCAGAGCCAAGCACUGAGAACUGACGUGUGAGCCCUGGUGAGGACUGCCGCUCCCUCUGCCUUGGUGUGGGACCUCCUGAGCUCCCAUUCCUGUGCUGGGAGUGUUUCUCCUCUCAUCCAGCCAAGCCAGAGACCUCCUAGGGAACAAGCAGCAGGUCAGCAUGAAGACUGAACGUGUAAGAAGACGUGGGGUGAAAUGGAGAAUCUGGCAGGAGCAUCCGACGCACACGUGCACAAGUUUUGCUUUUUGCUUGGAUUUCAACUCAGAAGUUGUAAGGAAUUUGGGAAUGAGAUGGGACGUUUCAGAAGAAGAGGAAUGAGGAGAAGAGGAAGUUGUUGUUACAGUCCUGGCAAAAUCUUUUGUUCUAGCUAAUAAAAGAAGUUAAAAAAAAAAAAAAAAGGCAAAAAAAGUGGUUUCUUUCAUUCAAUAUUGU